ACGCUGGUGUGGUUUGCGUCCA
rnacentral:misc_RNA from 1 species